UGAGGACAAAACAUGUUGAAAAGU
rnacentral:miRNA from 1 species